UUUAAACAUAACUGUCAGCCCAUUAUUAGUACUGAACGACUUUAUAAUAUAUAAAGGCCACCAUGCUAAAACUAGUAACAAGAAAACGAAUUUCUCCAAAGCACAAGCUUAAGCCUGUCCGGACAACCCGCCGGCACUUAACGACAAUGAAUCUAAUAUAACAACAUACCUAGAAAAACUUAUUAAAAGUCCCGUUAACCUAACACAAGAGUGCUUCCGGAAAGAUUUAAAAGAAAAGAAGGAACUCGGCAAACCUUGGCCCCGCCUGUUUACCAAAAACAUCGCCUCUUGCCCAAAUAUAAGAGGUCUAGCCUGCCCAGUGACCCAUAAACGGCCGCGUGAUUUUAAGCGCGCAAAGGUAGCAUAAUCACUUGUUCCCCAAAUAGGGACCCGUAUCAAAGGCCUGACGAGGGCCAUACUGUCUCCUUUUCUUAAUCAGUGAAACUAAUCCCCCUGUGAAAAAGCAGGGAUAUUAUUAUAAGACGAGAAGACCCCAUGGAGCUUUAAAUGAAGCAACAAGCCGCUUCAACAAAACCAAUGUAACCUUAGGCCCCCUGUCUGCUAAUUUUAGGUUGGGGCGACCGCGGAGCAAAACUUAACCUCCACGACUAAAGGACACACGUCCUAAUCCAAGAAAAACUUAUCUAAGAAUCGACAACUUGAUGUUAAGUGACCCGACUAUCGAUCAACGGACCAAGUUACCCUGGGGAUAACAGCGCAAUCCAUUUUAAGAGCCCAUAUCGACAAAUGGGUUUACGACCUCGAUGUUGGAUCAGGGUAUCCCGGCGGUGCAGCCGCUGCUAAAGG
rnacentral:rRNA from 1 species